AUUGAACGCUGGCGGCAGGCCUAACACAUGCAAGUCGAGCGAGCGGCGGACGGGUGAGUAAUGUCUGGGAAACUGCCUGAUGGAUGGGGAUAACUACUGGAAACGGUAGCUAAUACCGCAUACCAUCAGAUGUGCCCGGAUGGGCUUAGCUAGUGGGUGGGGUAACGGCUCACCUAGGCGACGAUCCCUAGCUGGUCUGAGAGGAUGACCAGCCACACUGGAAUUGAGAUACGGCCCAGACUCCUACGGGAGGCAGCAGUGGGGAAUAGUGUACAAGGGGCGGAAGCCUGAUACAGCCAGGCCGCGUGGGUGAAGAAGGCCUUCGGGUUGGAAAGCACUUUCAGCGGGGAGGCGUUACCCGAAGAAGAAGCACCGGCUAACUCCGUGCCAGCAGCCGCGGUAAUUC
rnacentral:rRNA from 1 species